rnacentral:rRNA from 1 species
AUGAACGCUGGCGGCGUGCUUAACACAUGCAAGUCGAACGGAAAGGCCCAAGCUUGCUUGGGUACUCGAGUGGCGAACGGGUGAGUAACACGUGGGUGAUCUGCCCUGCACUUCGGGAUAAGCCUGGGAAACUGGGUCUAAUACCGGAUAGGACGAUGGUUUGGAUGCCAUUGUGGAAAGUUUUUUCGGUGUGGGAUGAGCUCGCGGCCUAUCAGCUUGUUGGUGGGGUAAUGGCCUACCAAGGCGUCGACGGGUAGCCGGCCUGAGAGGGUGUACGGCCACAUUGGGACUGAGAUACGGCCCAGACUCCUACGGGAGGCAGCAGUGGGGAAUAUUGCACAAUGGGCGCAGGCCUGAGGCAGCGACGCCGCGUGGGGGAUGACGGCCUUCGGGUUGUAAACUCCUUUCGCUAGGGACGAAGCGUUUUUGUGACGGUACCUGGAGAAGAAGCACCGGCUAACUACGUG